rnacentral:misc_RNA from 1 species
UUUCGUGUAUGCGCCGACUUCUCCAGACAAUGGACUCUUAGUCUCCACAACCUCAACGAUGACAUUUGCCGUCCCAGGUAGCUCCGGCGGGCCCGAAUCGAGCGUGAUCCUAACCGAAUCAAAAACCUCAAGCGCCUGCAACCUGAAAUUCACGUCUUUUGAAGCCGCCAUCAACUCUUGCAUCGACGAAACGUCUUUAAGCAGCGCCGUUUCGGCUUCGAUUAAGGAGUCCUUCGUCUUGGAGUUCCCCUUGAUGAUCACAUCGUGGACACGAAGAGGUAAACUUUCAGUCUGUAUCCGACGAAAGAGGCUCUCAAGCUUUGCUCGCUCUAUUCGUGCUCGAGACUCUCGGCUUCCCGUAUUUGGUAGUUCGGGUUGGAUUUCCUCUUCUUCCUCGUCUUCUUCGUCAAGGUCAUCCUCGCCACUGGUAGGGUUUUCCAGUACCGGGUCGGGUUCUGCUGCCAUUGAAGUGGAAGGAGAGAGACGCCGACUUGGCCGAUAACACUGUAGACUCCGAUUGUUGUUCUUGUUCUUUAUUGAUCUUUUUUU